rnacentral:rRNA from 1 species
CCCCUAGAUGUUCUGGGCCGCACGCGCGCUACACUGAACAGUUCAACAAGUCUUAACCUUGGCCGAUAGGUCUGGGUAAUCUUUGAACGCUGUUCGUGAUUGGGAUAGACCUUUGCAAUUAUGGGUCUUCAACGAGGAAUUCCUAGUAAACGCAAGUCAUCAGCUUGCAUUGAUUACGUCCCUGCCCUUUGUACACACCGCCCGUCGCACCUACCGAUUGAAUGGUCCGGUGAAAUCUCAGGACGGCGGCUUGGUCGCUUGCGUCCGACUGCUGAAACUUGAUUAAACCAUAUCAUUUAGAGGAAGGUGAAGUCGUAACA